rnacentral:rRNA from 1 species
UGAGGAAUAUUGGUCAAUGGGGGCAACCCUGAACCAGCCAAGUCGCGUGAAGGAUGAAGGUCUUAUGGAUUGUAAACUUCUUUUAUACAGGAAUAAAUUGGGGGACGUGUCCCCUUUUGCAUGUACUGUAUGAAUAAGGAUCGGCUAACUCCGUGCCAGCAGCCGCGGUAAUACGGAGGGUGCGAGCGUUAUCCGGAUUUACUGGGUUUAAAGGGUGCGUAGGUGGGCUUAUAAGUCAGUGGUGAAAUCUCCGAGCUUAACUUGGAAACUGCCGUUGAUACUAUAGGUCUUGAAUUAUCUGGAGGUAAGCGGAAUAUGUCAUGUAGCGGUGAAAUGCUUAGAUAUGACAUAGAACACCAAUUGCGAAGGCAGCUUACUACAUAUAAAUUGACGCUGAGGCACGAAAGCGUGGGGAUCAAACA